AGUUUCUCACUUGUAACGACUGUGGGCCGAUUUGAAAUUGUCCCUGAUUAUCCACUUAACCAAUGGAGUCACUGUCUGGGCCAAGUGAAAAUCACAGGCUCGUUUAGCUUCCUCAAAGAUUACAGAAUAACCAGCAAUGACUCUUUCUGGCGUAUACGGUGCGUCUGUCCGUGAUAACCCAGCGGGGACAGGGCACGGGGCCCGCCUUUCAGCUUUAUGUCUUGCAAGUUUCCGUCCUUCACAGUACUGUCAAAAGCAAGCAAAACCGGCAAUAUAGCAUAACAGUGAAGAAUGGGGCUUCUGUAACCAAAUGAUGGUUUUAAGAUCCCAAUUCCAUCGAAAAACCACUGUGUAUCCUUAGGUAAGGACACACAUGCAUCUUAGCCCUCUAUAUGUUAUGUUGUCCCCUAUAAACUUGUCCUUUUCCAUGUCAGAUAUGAUCAAUUAACAACUCCUUAGGUUUCAGCCUGAUGUAAUUAUUCCUGCCAUUUAGAAUCUUUAGCUCUGGAAUGGAAUCAUGGAACUCGAGAGUCAUAACAAUAUCAAGCAGGCCCACAAUUUUAAAAUGCACAUUGUAGAUCAUUGUCCUGAACAAGCCAAGACUGUGCAUUUUUCAUUGUGAUUAGAACCUGGAACCAGGAAACUUGCCCUAUUCCUUGCCAUUACUUAAGAAAGUCUUUGUGGAAGUCCUCAACUUUUCAGCGAAGGAAAAUUGAGUACUUAGGUGAGAGGAAGACUCUAAAGGCAGAAACAGACGGUUGGAAGACAUGGAAGUGAAUCAGUCUGCUCUGCAGAGCAGGUGAGUUCUUAGCUGGCGAUCUUUCCUAGCUACCCCAAAGGAACAGUUCUCCAGCAGAUGUCUAGGUAGUCGGCAUAAUGCAGAAGGUUGAUGGUUGGUAAAAACUGUAGGGUUUUAUCCAUUUCAGCACUAGGGACUUAUAAAAAAUAUUAGAUAUUAAUGAGGUUAACUUUCCAAGAGUCAGUUAUUUGUAUCCACUGGACUGAAAUUAUGAAAGAUGAAGUUCAUAAACAGUAAUACCUUUGUUUAUCAUGAUUUUCUGAGUUUCUUGGAAAAGAACCAUUGAGCCUAUUGAAAGAAAGAUUUUCUCCUCUAACCAUAAACCCAAAGGAAAAAGGUGAUGCACUUUUUUUUUUUUUUUUUGGUUGUUUCUCUUGUAGACCAGUUCCAAUGUUCCCAGUCGCCUUCUGCCCAAGUUAAUAGAGUAUAGCCUGUUUGUCUCUCCACCUACUUGAUGAAUUCAUUUUUUUGAGCAUCUGAUGUUUGCAAAAAGAAUGAGACAAAGUUUCUACCCUGCUCAUCAAACAAUUUUAGUAACACUAAUAAGUAGGUCAUUAUAAAAUACUUGGGCAAAUGGUCGGAGAGAUGCAAAGUGCUGGGAGGCAGCAUUCAAUGAGGACAGGAUGCUCCGUGCCAUCCAUUUACCAAUGUUCUUUCGCGGGGUUGAUCAAAGGCUCUGGAUAAGGAAACCCACUCACCAAUCCA